UACCCAAGAAUACUCUACACCAGUGGGAAUGCUAAAGACAUUUCGACUCAUUUACGCCGACAUCACCUCAGUGUGUCAAUAACUGGAACUAGACAAAAACAAGUAGCAACACACACAAAACAAACUAUCCUUGCAGCAUUUAAGCAG